rnacentral:rRNA from 1 species
UACGUAGGGUGCGAGCGUUAAUCGGAAUUACUGGGCGUAAAGCGUGCGCAGGCGGUGCUGUAAGACCGAUGUGAAAUCCCCCGGGCUUAACCUGGGAACUGCAUUGGUGACUGCAGCGCUGGAGUAUGGCAGAGGGGGGGGUGGAAUUCCACGUGUAGCAGUGAAAUGCGUAGAGAAUGUGGAGGAACACCGAUGGCGAAGGCAGCAACUACAGGGUUAAUUGACACUUGAGGCUCGAAAUGCGUGGGGAGUC